rnacentral:tRNA from 1 species
GGUCGGUUAGCUCAGUUUGUAAGAGCGUGGUGCUGAUAAGGCCAAGGUCACGGGCUUGAUUCCCGUACCAGCCA